rnacentral:rRNA from 1 species
UACGUAGGGGGCAAGCGUUAUCCGGAAUUACUGGGUGUAAAGGGUGAGUAGACGGCAUGGUAAGCCAGAUGUGAAAGCCUUGGGCUUAACCCGAGGAUUGCAUUUGGAACUAUCAAGCUAGAGUACAGGAGAGGAAAGCGGAAUUCCUAGUGUAGCGGUGAAAUGCGUAGAUAUUAGGAAGAACACCAGUGGCGAAGGCGGCUUUCUGGACUGAAACUGACGCUGAGGCACGAAAGCGUGGGGAGCGAACAGG